rnacentral:snoRNA from 2 species
GAGGAUGAUGAUUUCAUAUUUGUCGCCCCAGUCUUAGGGUCUGCAAUGUUGUUGGAUCUGUGCUGAUUGACAUACUUCUGAAUCUGACUC